rnacentral:rRNA from 1 species
AAAGCAGGGGAUCGCAAGACCUUGCGCUUUUGGAGCGGCCGAUGUCUGAUUAGCUAGUUGGUAGGGUAAAGGCUUACCAAGGCAACGAUCAGUAGUUGGUCUGAGAGGACGACCAGCCACACUGGGACUGAGACACGGCCCAGACUCCUACGGGAGGCAGCAGUGGGGAAUUUUGGACAAUGGGCGAAAGCCUGAUCCAGCCAUGCCGCGUGAGUGAAGAAGGCCUUCGGGUUGUAAAGCUCUUUCAGUCGAGAAGAAAAAAUUGCGACUAAUAAUCGCAAUUCAUGACGGUAUCGACAGAAGAAGCACCGGCUAACUACGUGCCAGCAGCCGCGGUAAUACGUAGGGUGCAAGCGUUAAUCGGAAUUACUGGGCGUAAAGGGUGCGCAGGCGGCCUUGUAAGUCAGAUGUGAAAUCCCCGGGCUUAACCUGGGAACUGCGUUUGAAACUACAAGGCUAGA